rnacentral:rRNA from 1 species
CGGGGUGAGUAAUGUCUGGGAAACUGCCUGAUGGAGGGGGAUAACUACUGGAAACGGUAGCUAAUAUCGCAUAACGUCGCAAGACCAAAGAGGGGGACCUUCGGGCCUCUUGCCAUCGGAUGUGCCCAGAUGGGAUUAGCUAGUAGGUGGGGUAACGGCUCACCUAGGCGACGAUCCCUAGCUGGUCUGAGAGGAUGACCAGCCACACUGGAACUGAGACACGGUCCAG